AUUGAACGCUGGCGGCAGGCCUAACACAUGCAAGUCGAACGGUAACAGGAAGCAGCUUGCUGCUUCGCUGACGGGAGGCGGACGGGUGAGUAAGGACUGGGAAGCUGCCUGAUGGAGGGGGAGAACGACUGGAAACGGUAGCUAAUACCGCAGAAUGACGCAAGCGCAAAGAGGGGGGCUGUCGGGCCCCUAGCCAUCGGAUGCGCCCAGAGGGGUAUAGCUUGGUGGGGGGGUAACGGCACACCAAGGCGACGAUCCCUAGCGGGUCUGAGAGGAUGACCAGCCACCCUGGAACUGAGACACGGUCCAGACUCCUACGGGAGGCAGCAGUGGGGACUCUUGCACAAUGGGCGAAAGCCUGAUGCAGCCAUGCCGCGUGUAUGAAGAAGGCCUUCGGGUUGUAAAGUACUUUCAGCGGGGAGGAAGGGAGUAACGUUAAUACCUUUGCUCAUUGACGUUACCCGCAGAAGAAGCACCGGCUAACUCCGUG
rnacentral:rRNA from 1 species